rnacentral:rRNA from 1 species
UGCCUGCCCAGUGACAACUGUUUAACGGCCGCGGUAUCCUGACCGUGCAAAGGUAGCAUAAUCAUUUGUUCUCUAAAUAAGGACUUGUAUGAAUGGCCGCACGAGGGUUUUACUGUCUCUUACUUCCAAUCAGUGAAAUUGACCUUCCCGUGAAGAGGCGGGAAUGCACAAAUAAGACGAGAAGACCCUAUGGAGCUUUAACUAACCAACCCAAAGAGAAUAGAUUUAACCAUUAAGGAAUAACAACAAUCUCCAUGAGUUGGUAGUUUCGGUUGGGGUGACCUCGGAGAAUAAAAAAUCCUCCGAGCGAUUUUAAAGACUAGACCCACAAGUCAAAUCACUCUAUCGCUCAUUGAUCCAAAAACUUGAUCAACGGAACAAGUUACCCUAGGGAUAACAGCGCANUCCUAUUCAAGAGUCCAUAUCGACAAUAGGGUUUACGACCUCGAUGUUGGAUCAGGACAUCCUGAUGGUGCAACCGCUAUCAAA